GGGUUACGUGUAGGCUGAUGAGAGCCCUGUAUGAAUAAGGAUCGGCUAACUCCGUGCCAGCAGCCGCGGUAAUACGGAGGAUCCGAGCGUUAUCCGGAAUUAUUGGGUUUAAAGGGUGCGUAGGCGGCUAUUUAAGUCAGCGGUGAAAUUUUGCAGCUUAACUGUCACAUGGCCGUUGAAACUGUUUAGCUAGGAUUUGGUUGCAGAGUGCGGAAUGUGUGGUGUAGCGGUGAAAUGCUUAGAUAUCACACAGAACACCAAUUGCGAAGGCAGCACACUAAUGCAUUAUUGACGCUGAUGCACGAAAGUGUGGGGAUCAAACAGGAUUAAAUACCCUGGUAGUCCACACUGUAAACGAUGAUAACUCGCUGCCGGCGAUACAUUGUUGGUGGCCAAGCGAAAGCAUUAAGUUAUCCACCUGGGGAGUACGACCGCAAGGUUG
rnacentral:rRNA from 1 species